rnacentral:lncRNA from 1 species
GGCCCUCCAAAUACAUUUUGACUUGGUCAAAUCACUCAACCAAAGGUGGGGAUUAAAUCUUGGCCCUCUAAUCCUUAUCCCAAAAAGGUGAUUAAUGGGCAGAAGGGCUCUUAGCCCUUCUGCACGCCAAGAUAAAAUGCCGUGCGCCAAGAACCAUGCGCCAAACCUUAUCCACUUUAUCUCCAUGCCAUUUAGGCAUUUUAAUCUCAUUAAAAUUCUUCAAAAAUGGUGUGCAACAAUAUAAAGGAAAGAGAUUAGUUGG